rnacentral:rRNA from 1 species
GAUGAACGCUGGCGGCGUGCCUAAUACAUGCAAGUCGAGCGAACAGACGAGGAGCUUGCUCCUCUGACGUUAGCGGCGGACGGGUGAGUAACACGUGGAUAACCUACCUAUAAGACUGGGAUAACUUCGGGAAACCGGAGCUAAUACCGGAUAAUAUAUUGAACCGCAUGGUUCAAUAGUAAAAGACGGCUUUGCUGUCACUUAUAGAUGGAUCCGGGCGGCAUUAGCUAGUUGGUAAGGUAACGGCUUACCAAGGCAACCAUGCGUAGCCGACCUGAGAGGGUGGUCGGCCACACUGGAACUGAGACACGGUCCAGACUCCUACGGGAGGCAGCAGUAGGGAAUCUGCCGCAGUGGGCGAAAGCCUGACGGAGCGGCGCCGCGUGAGUGAUGAAGGUCUUCGGAUCGUAAAACUCUGUUAUUAGGGAAGAACAAAUGUGUACGUAACUAUGCACGUCUUGACGGUACCUAAUCAGAAAGCCACGGCUAACUACGUG